rnacentral:lncRNA from 1 species
GGAGCAGAGAAGCAGAACUCCAUUGCUCUCUUCAGCUCAUCUGCCUCUCCCCCUCACUACAGCCCUCUCCCUCUCCUCUCCUCUCACUCAUAUCCCUCUUCCUCCCUCAUCCCUCUCCUCUUUCUUUCGCCUCUAUAUCUUCUCUCACUUUAUCCCUAAUUUUAAAAUAAAAAGCCCUAAUUUUCGGAGGUGGCAUUAUUUUUCGGCGAUGGCGGCGGUUGAUUUGUCCACCUUCUUCUCCAUUGGGGUCUUACAUUACAUCUAAUUAAAGGUUAGUCUUCAAUUUGAGUAUUAUGGAUUUUGUUCUCCGAUUUGGAUGUGUUUAUCAUUGAAUUGUGGUUUGUGUGUUGAUCUCCCUUUUCUUUUCAUUCUCAAGUGAUUCUCAAAAGCUCCAGUGCCUCUAGGUAUUACCGAUUUUGUAUAUACAUGUCUUUGCUUUAUGUAUUCUACUAUAUGUAUGUUUGUACUAGUUAGUCUAAUUGAGAGAAACAUUUAACCAUAAAUUAACUGAAACCAACCCAAAUGAAAUUUUGGAUUGCUAAAUAAAUUCCAAUUUUAUGGGCAAGAUAAUUUAUUGAAGAAAUUGGAUGACGUUUUUGAGACAUGUAGUAGUUAUUCGGAACAUGAAGUGAAGAAGAAGGGAAAGAGAAGGAGAUUGAGGUUUUGGAUGGAUUGGUGGAGGUGAUUAUGGACAGGUUGAAAUGGGGGAAUGAGGUUAUGAAGAAGAAGAUGACCCCUGGUUUAAGUACCGAGAUAAGCUUUUUUUGUUUUAAUUUAUAUCUUACAGUAUCUUGUGAAUUUGUAUUUAAGUUGUAAAAGCUUAUCAAUUUUACGUUUUUAAGACUUUGCCAUAAUUCUCGUCAAGGUAAAUAACGUUCAGAAAAACUGCACCACCAUCUGUUUGAAAUGCUUCCCUUUCAGCUGAUACAGAUUCUUUGGCAAUUGGUGUUCUCCCUGGUUAUGAGCACAACAGCAAUGCGGUGAAGUUGGAUUCUGCAGAAAAUCCUCGUGUUGAUUCGUUGAAAUUCGGUUAUCCAAUAUCCUGCUGCAGCACAUAAAGAAAAGAGUCUUAACCAUGACGUGUCGUCUAAAUUUGAUUCG